UCUGUGUGUUAACAGCAUGUUGUAUUCAGACCAGAGGAGCUAGGAGGUGGUAUGUCUGUGUGUUAGCAGCAUGUUGUAUCCAGACCAGAGGAGCUAGGAGGUGGUAUGUCUGUGUGUUAGCAGCAUGUUGUAUCCAGACCAGAGGAGCUAGGAGGUGGUAUGUCUGUGUGUUAGCAGCAUGUUGUAUCCAGACCAGAGGAGCUAGGAGGUGGUAUGUCUGUGUGUUAGCAGCAUGUUGUAUCCAGACCAGAGGAGCUAGGAGGUGGUAUGUCUGUGUGUUAGCAGCAUGUUGUAUCCAGACCAGAGGAGCUAGGAGGUGGUAUGUCUGUGUGUUAGCAGGAUGUUGGAGGUGGUAUGUCUGUGUGUUAACAGGAUGUUGUAUCCAGACCAGAGGAGCUAGGAGGUGGUAUGUCUGUGUGU